rnacentral:piRNA from 1 species
GAGAUGUGGAUAUUAUGGUGUGGAGG